GCAUUUUGAGAAAGAGUUCAAAGUCCAUUGGCCAAUAGUGGAAUCAAAUCCGAGGCCAUAAACAACGAAUGACAAUUACAUUUAUAGCCGAUACCCACACCUAGCUACCUACAUGCACACAUACAUAUGUCAUUAUAAUAUUCUACCCUAAGAAGCCAGCUUUAAUUUAGAAGUAAUUACAAAA
rnacentral:sRNA from 1 species